UUUAAGUUUACACUGUCGUGAAAGAGAAGGUAAGAAAGACGUUUAAAUAACAAGAUGAGCAUGAUGUAAAGUUGAUGAAUAAAAACACCUGUCUGGUCCUUUAAAGGUCACUUCUCUCUGUUUCACUGUUGUUUUUACAGUUCAAACGAGGAAAAGAAACAUUUUCACUUCAACGUGACAGUUUUU